GCCCGGAUGGCGAAAUCGGCAGACGCACAGGACUUAAAAUCCUGGGGAGGAAACUCCGUGCGGGUUCAAGUCCCGCUCUGGGCA
rnacentral:tRNA from 1 species